GGGGGCGUAGCUCAUCAGGAUAGAGCGCAAGAUUCCUAUGAAAGAUUGGGUGCAUCACUGGAAACGGUGAAUGUAGAACUGCUCAAAGUCGGGGAAACCUGUAAAAUGGCAAUCCCGAGUCAAGCAUCGCAAGAUGAAGGUGUAGAGACUAGACGGGCAGCAUCUAAAGGAAAUCAUUUUCCUAUGAUGAAGGGAUAGUCCAGCGCACAAACAUUCUUUAGGGAAUGGUAGUGAAAACUAUAGUGUGAUGAAUCUUGAGGUAGCAGGUUCGAGUCCUGCCGCUCUCACCA
rnacentral:tRNA from 1 species